AACGAACGCUGGCGGCAGGCUUAAUACAUGCAAGUCGAACGUGAAAGUCCUUCGGGGUGAGUAAAGUGGCGCACGGGUGAGUAACACGUGGGAACGUACACUUGGGUGCGGGAUAACUGCGGGAAACUGUAGCAAAUACGGCUUAAUGUCUUCGGACAAAAGAUUUCUCGCCUAAGGAUCGGCCCGCGUUGGAUUAGCUUGUUGGUGGGGUAAUGGCCUACCAAGGCGACGAUCCAUAGCUGGUCUGAGAGGAUGAACAGCCACACUGGAACUGAGACACGGUCCAGACUCCUACGGGAGGCAGCAGUAGGGAAUAUUGGGCAAUGGGCGAAAGCCUGACCCAGCCAUGCCGCGUGAAUGAUGAAGGCCUUAGGGUUGUAAAGUUCUUUCGCCGAUGAAGAUAAUGACGGUAGUCGGAUAAGAAGCCCCGGCUAACUUCGUGCCAGCCGCCGCUGUAA
rnacentral:rRNA from 1 species